rnacentral:rRNA from 1 species
AUUGAACGCUGGCGGCAGGCCUAACACAUGCAAGUCGAGCGGAUGAGGAGAGCUUGCUCUCUGAUUAGCGGCGGACGGGUGAGUAAUGCCUAGGAAUCUGCCUGGUAGUGGGGGAUAACGUUCCGAAAGGAACGCUAAUACCGCAUACGUCCUACGGGAGAAAGCAGGGGACCUUCGGGCCUUGCGCUAUCAGAUGAGCCUAGGUCGGAUUAGCUAGUUGGUGAGGUAAUGGCUCACAAAGGCGACGGUCCGUAACAGGUAUGAGAGGAUGAACAGUCACGCGGGAACUGAGACACGGUCCAGACGCCUACGGGAGGCAGCAGUGGGGAAUAUUGGACAAUGGGCGAAAGCCUGAUCCAGCCAUGCCGCGUGUGUGAAGAAGGUCUUCGGAUUGUAAAGCACUUUAAGUUGGGAGGAAGGGUUGUAGAUUAAUACUCUGCAAUUUUGACGUUACCAACAGAAUAAGCACCGGCUAACUUCGUGCCAGCAGCCGCCGUAAGAC